rnacentral:tRNA from 1 species
CGAGCACGGGCGAACGACUGCAACGCUAUGAGCCCGCCUUUGCACGGCGGAGGCCAGGGGUUCGAGUCCCCUCUGCUCGA